UACGGAGGGAGCUAGCGUUGUUCGGAAUUACUGGGCGUAAAGCGCACGUAGGCGGCUUUGUAAGUUAGGGGUGAAAGCCCGGGGCUCAACUCCGGAAUUGCCUUUAAGACUGCAUCGCUUGAAUCCAGGAGAGGUGAGUGGAAUUCCGAGUGUAGAGGUGAAAUUCGUAGAUAUUCGGAAGAACACCAGUGGCGAAGGCGGCUCACCGGACUGGUAUUGACGCUGAGGUGCGAAAGCGUGGGGAGCAAACAGG
rnacentral:rRNA from 1 species